UACAGAGGUCUCAAGCGUUGUUCGGAUUCAUUGGGCGUAAAGGGCGCGCAGGCGGUCCUGUUUGUCGAGUGUGAAAGCCCCCGGCUCAACUGGGGAGGGUCACGCGAUACUGGUCGACUCGAAGGCAGGAGAGGGUAGUGGAAUUCCCGGUGUAGUGGUGAAAUGCGUAGAUAUCGGGAGGAACACCAGUGGCGAAGGCGACUACCUGGCCUGUUCUUGACGCUGAGGCGCGAAAGCUAGGGGAGCAAACGGG
rnacentral:rRNA from 1 species